AUCGGAGGUAUGUGUUAAUGAUACGUGCCAUACAAAUCAUUGAGUCGGGAACUUUCGGUGGCCCACAGAAGCCCGCGGCUGCUCAUCCACACAUCCACGGCCGAAUCGUGCGCUUCUGGCCAGAAGGCGAGAUCAACCGCGCUAUCUACCUGCCUCCCGCAUCCGCUCCGCGAGGAAUCGGCUGCCUGCCUCGUCGCCCUCCCCGCCGCGGCGCCGAACCCACAAACUGCAGGCGCGGUGAGCUCACCGCAAUCGCACUGCCUCCGCACGGUAAUUUCGUCGAACAGCAGUCAAAAAUCAGGUCGCCCGUCGCGUAGGUGUUGUAGAAGAUGGUGGCGCUGAAGUACAGCGCUGCCGUGAGGGUGAGGAAGGCCUGGAAGGACCCUAGCCACUGGACGAAGUAGCCAGUUCCGAUGGUGCUAACUAUGGCGGCCACUGUCCCGAUGCCGUUCGUCAGUCCUGUGCACGCAGCAGAAGAGAUGUCAGGUACAGGGUCAAGACUGCAUUGCGGCAUUGGUAAUUACUGGAUCGUUAAAUCCUGUCAAGUGUACAAAUGCUCAAAUGAGGGACAUACCGUGCAAAGAUCCAGCAUAUUUGGGAGCAAUGUCCUGUGUGAAAGAUCAAGUAAAAUGCAUUCGUUCAGACUUGUCACAGUGUAGUUGUUAUAGAAGCAGCACCACAGAAAGGAAAAAGGAGGUCAUUGGAGUUUAGGUGGUAUGAUCAGGAUAUGCAGGAGACUCUACCUGUACGUUACAAAAGUAUCCAGCUUGACUGAAGGAACUCAAGCUCAGGGCAAUGGUCAUGAGAGCCGCAGCAACUGAUGGAGUUUGGGCAAAUCUUAAGCAUAGCAAUGACACACCCGGCCCCAUAAAACCAAUGGACUGCAGAGAAACCAGAAUUGUGAUGAGUCUUGUGUUCCAGGUUGUGCGAGUUAUCAGCCUAUUCUGUGAGCUGUGCAAGGCCAAGGCUAAUCUCAGACGACGCUUUUACCUGCAUAAUUUUACGAACUAGUGCAGUGGAGAAACCAGAUUUGAUCAGGAAAUCUGCAGAAGCUCCUGCAACAUAACCGGACACAGCCAUGACUGCCCAAGCCAUUUCAGGCUUGAGAGAUUGAUGUUGGUUAAAGUAAAACUACUUAUAUGCCAAUUAUGAGCAAAUUCAAUGGGUGAAAUAAGUUACUCACUUAGGUAAGAAGGUGCUCAUUGUCGGAAAUGCCACACCUUCUGCAAGGCCAAAGAGUGCACGCAUAGCAAGCAACAUGAUGGUGGAGCGGGAGGCAGCCCAAGGAGUGAGGAAAGUAGCCAAGGACCAGAGUGCAGCAGCACCUGCCAUCACCUUCUUCCCGCCAUAUCGGUCUGCCAAAGCUCCUCCAACCAUGGAUGAGAAAACAUAUCCCCACAAAAAUGAUGACUGCAGAAGUGGAUAAGAUUCAACCUCAAGCCAACCAGUUUAAUAGCAAGAGAACAAGUAGUAUUCGUUCGAGGCUAGGUUUUUGUUGAGUGACUUCUAAUCAUUGAAUUGUAUUUCGGUGUGAGCGGAAACUUGGGAUGCAAUCUUUCUGGUCCUUAUCACCAGAUGAAAAGGAGAGUACUGAAUCAGCCGUGCAUUACCUGGACGAUGCCCACGAAGGAGCUGGACCAGCCGUGCUGCGCGGCCAGCGGCACGACGGCGACGGACAUGACCACCCGGUCGGCGUUGCAGAGCAGCAUAAUG